AGAUUUUGACCACAGUCCAGAGCAGCAGUUCCUCUCAAAGUGGAAUCCAGGUGGAGCUGGAGGAGGUGGAGACCCGAGGGGAGGAAUUUCCCAUGACGCGAGCUUUCCUGUCCUUACUGGACUCCCUCACUGACAUUCCUGUCCCCCGGGACUCGGGGCCAGUUUCAGGGCCCCAGGAUUUCAACCCUACCUAGAGUUUGUCAAGAAUGUUUGAGAUUUUUACGCCAGCAGUUAAAAGAAUCCAUCAGAAAAGUGGGAGGUGGCCAGUGACUGUCUGAGAAUCCUAUGUAAGCUCCUGAGGGA